rfam:Salmo salar isolate Sally breed double haploid chromosome ssa28, whole genome shotgun sequence.
GGUCCCGUCCGGCUCAGUUGGUAGAGCAUGGUGUUUGCAACGCCAGGGUUGUGGGUUCGAUUCCCAUGGGGGACCA